rnacentral:lncRNA from 1 species
UUUCUUGCUAAAUUGGAAUGCAAACGAUUUUAGUUGCUAAAGAUGAGGAAAUUAAAAUAUUUUAAAAAGAACAUGAGCCACCACACCUGGCCCAAAAUCAUAUAUUGAAGCUUUACCCCCCAGUACCUCAGAAUAUGACUAUAUUUGAUGAUAGGGGCUUGAGAGAGGUGAUGAAGUUAAUCAUGUCUUUGAUCUUGGAUUUCCAGCCUGCAGAACUGUGAGAAAAUAAAUUUCUGUUAUUUAAGCCAGCUAGUCUGUGGUAUUUUGUUAUGUCAGGCCUAGCAAACUAAUAGAUGCCCCAAAGUGACAAUUCUGGAAACAUUAGACUGGUCAAUUUACAGCGGAUUAAAGUGUACACCAAGUGUCAGUUUAAUAAUUUACAUUGGGAUUACAUUGGGAUUAUUUACUGGGAUUCCAGGCGUGAGCCACUGCACUUGGCCCAAAAUUUAUAGGCUGGAUGUUCUAAAACUGUUAUGUUGCUACUCUUUCUGAAAAAUAUAUCUGUUUAGUGGUAGAAGGCUAAAAUUUCUUUGCUGUUUAACUUGAAGCUAAUUUGUUCUCUUUCAAGACACAUUUUAUUAAAGGAAAGUGAAGAGAAGAA